rnacentral:rRNA from 1 species
UACAGAGGUCUCAAGCGUUGUUCGGAUUCAUUGGGCGUAAAGGGUGCGUAGGCGGCGCCGUAAGUCGGGUGUGAAAUCUCGGGGCUUAACUCCGAAACUGCAUUCGAUACUGCGGUGCUUGAGGACUGGAGAGGAGACUGGAAUUCAUGGUGUAGCAGUGAAAUGCGUAGAGAUCAUGAGGAAGACCAGUGGCGAAGGCGGGUCUCUGGACAGUUCCUGACACUGAGACACGAAGGCCAGGGGAGCAAACGGG